GGCGGCGUGCUUAAUACAUGCAAGUCGAACGCUUCUUUCCUCCCGAGUGCUUGCACUCAAUUGGAAAGAGGAGUGGCGGACGGGUGAGUAACACGUGGGUAACCUACCCAUCAGAGGGGGAUAACACUUGGAAACAGGUGCUAAUACCGCAUAACAGUUUAUGCCGCAUGGCAUAAGAGUGAAAGGCGCUUUCGGGUGUCGCUGAUGGAUGGACCCGCGGUGCAUUAGCUAGUUGGUGAGGUAACGGCUCACCAAGGCCACGAUGCAUAGCCGACCUGAGAGGGUGAUCGGCCACACUGGGACUGAGACACGGCCCAGACUCCUACGGGAGGCAGCAGUAGGGAAUCUUCGGCAAUGGACGAAAGUCUGACCGAGCAACGCCGCGUGAGUGAAGAAGGUUUUCGGAUCGUAAAACUCUGUUGUUAGAGAAGAACAAGGACGUUAGUAACUGAACGUCCCCUGACGGUAUC
rnacentral:rRNA from 1 species